rnacentral:rRNA from 1 species
GACGAACGCUGGCGGCGUGCCUAAUACAUGCAAGUUGAGCGCUGAAGGUUGGUACUUGUACCAACUGGAUGAGCAGCGAACGGGUGAGUAACGCGUGGGGAAUCUGCCUUUGAGCGGGGGACAACAUUUGGAAACGAAUGCUAAUACCGCAUAAAAACUUUAAACACAAGUUUUAAGUUUGAAAGAUGCAAUUGCAUCACUCAAAGAUGAUCCCGCGUUGUAUUAGCUAGUUGGUGAGGUAAAGGCUCGCCAAGGCGAUGAUACAUAGCCGACCUGAGAGGGUGAUCGGCCACAUUGGGACCGAGACACGGCCCAAACUCCUACGGGAGGCAGCAGUAGGGAAUCUUCGGCAAUGGACGAAAGUCUGACCGAGCAACGCCGCGUGAGUGAAGAAGGUUUUCGGAUCGUAAAACUCUGUUGGUAGAGAAGAACGUUGGUGAGAGUGGAAAGCUCAUCAAGUGACGGUAACUACCCAGAAAGGGACGGCUAACUACGU